rnacentral:tRNA from 1 species
AAAUAAGUAAGCUAAAUAAAGCUUUUAGGUUCAUACCCUAACUAUAGACUUAAUAAUUAAUCUCUUAUUUA